UCCAUGGAAAUGAUACAAGCUGAUCCACCACUCUGUGAUCACUACCAGGUGCUCCACACAGUUUAUUAAAUCAUGAGAUAGCAACAGCCAGGGAAGCCCCAGAUAUGAAAAGUCCUUCCUAAGUGCCUCUUCCUCUUCCUCCUCUAAGCCCCAACCUGAUAUAUUAGCAUGAAGGGUGAGACCAUGCAUCCCUUCUUCAUGUUGCCUUUCCUUCCCUGAUAAGGAGAUAACUGUCAGCCAACGUUUGUGAGAACCAAAUGAGUGUGUUUCAUUUCUCUGUUUUUUUUUCCUUCUGUUUUUCAGAAAACACUAUUGGGGAGCAAAGAGCCAGAUGAAAAAGGUGCUUUGCUUGGAGAGCUCAGUGGUGGCACGGUGGCAUUUUCCUCACCCCAUCAAUUUGUGUGGACAUUAUCCAGAUGAAACCGAGAAUCUUCACAACCCCUCAAAGUUCAGUGAAAAUUAUUUGAGCAUUUAUUUUCCCGCAUGAAAAUCAACAAGACUUCAUUGGCUAGCUCUUUACCUGAAUUCUGCAUUGGUUUUGUUUUGCUUUGUCUCAAAUAAUUUUAAGAAGUAGCUGGAAAAAUUAAAAUACAGCAUGCAUUUUUUUAAAAAAGCUACACAUGGAAUAAAACAUUUCAAGGCUAAUGAUUCAAGCAAGGAUUCCAAAAAGAAAGAAAGAUUGGGAGGCUGGAACCCCCUAAGACUUUUCUCCUUAAAUGAUCCAGCAAAAUUAAACCACUAUGGCUGGCUCCACACUGUAGAAUUAACACAGUUUGACACCACUUAAACUGCCAUAGCUCAAUGCUUUGGAAUCCAUGGACGUUGUAGUUUGAUGAGGCACACACACCUUUUGGCAGAGAAGGCUCAAUACUUUAUAAAAUGACAACUCCUAUUAUUCCAUUGCUUUAAGCCUUGGCAGUUAAAGUAGUAUCAAAUUGUCAGUCAAAAGUGUAGUAAAUAAUCAAUCAUUUAAAAAUAUUAGCAUACUAUUGUCCUUGGAGCCUCCCAGAACUAAUAAAAUCUCUUUGCAAUGCACAGUGAAUAGGGUGUAAGCUAUACUGACUCCAUGAGGGAUAUUUCAAAGUAGGAUCUUCAUAUUUAAAGUUGUUUCAGGGAUAAACCCAAGUUGCUCUCUCAUUGAUUGUAGCACUUAGCUACCUCGUGUUUACAAUACUCACUUAUUGCACUUUGCGCAGUUCAUUUUUACUUCCUCUAUUUGGGUGCCAAAUCCAUGUUUUAUUAUGAUUAUCAUUUUAAAUUCUUACUAUGUUAGAGUAUAUAAUUUUAAUAUUUGUGUCUGUAAUUUCUUAUGUUAUUCUGUUUUGAUUUGCUGUUUUUACCCGGGCUUGGCCCCAUGUAAGCUGCCCCGUGUCCCUCCGGGGAGAUGGAGGCGGGCUAUAAAAAUAAAUUAUUAUUAUUAUUA